rnacentral:rRNA from 1 species
UACGCGAUGUGCGAGCGUUGUUCGGAAUCACUGGGCAUAAAGGGUGCGUAGGCGGUAUGCCAAGUCGGGUGUGAAAUCCCUCCGCUUAACGGAGGAACUGCACUCGAUACUAGCAUGCUAGAGGGUCAAAGGGGCAAGCGGAAUUCUAGGUGUAGCGGUGGAAUGCGUAGAUAUCUGGGAGAACGCCGAGGGCGAAGGCAGCUUGCUGGGUGACAACUGACGCUGAGGCACGAAAGCUAGGGGAGCAAACAGG